GUGGCUUUCGUCUAAUGGCAAGACAACAGUUUGUGGAACUGUUAAAAGGGGUUCGAUCCCCCUAAGCCACC
rnacentral:tRNA from 1 species